rnacentral:rRNA from 1 species
UACGGAAGGCAGCAGUGGGGAAUAUUGCACAAUGGGCGCAAGCCUGAUGCAGCCAUGCCGCGUGUAUGAAAAAGGCCUUCGGGUUGUAAAGUACUUUCAGUCGUGAGGAAGGUGUUAAGGUUAAUAACCUUAGCAAUUGACGUUAGCGACAGAAGAAGCACCGGCUAACUCCGUGCCAGCAGCCGCGGUAAUACGGAGGGUGCGAGCGUUAAUCGGAAUUACUGGGCGUAAAGGGCACGCAGGCGGUUAAUUAAGUUGGAUGUGAAAUCCCCGGGGCUUAACCUGGGAAUGGCAUUCAAGCUGGUUAGCUAGAGUCUUGUAGAGGGGGUUAGAAUUCCAUGUGUAGCGGUGAAAUGCGUAGAGAUGUGGAGGAAUACCGGUGGCGAAGGCGGCCCCUGGACAAAGACUGACGCUCAUGUGCGAAAGCGUGGGGAGCAAAC